CCCAUCCCGCGGCCGCCCGGUCCCCGGCCGCCCCGUCGGGCGGGGCCGGGCGCCGAGGGCAUCCCCGCGCGGCCGCGCGCGCCCCGGUCCGUGCGCGGCCCCGCGCGGCCCCGCGCACCGCUGCGGGAAGCGGAGGCGGUGGCGGUGGCGACCCAGCGGUGCUGGGCUCGCCCCGGAGCAGCCCGCAUCGCCCCCAGUUUUAUUCAGGGAAGAAGAAGGUGUCCUGUCAUGAGAAAAUGGAAGAAAUAUGCAGUGAGAGAAGAAAUGAUGUUCUAAAACUGAGUCCUAUAUUUUUUUUUUUUAAUGUGCAUCAAAAGAGAACAUUAAGUAGUGUCUACAAUUUAAAAGAUUCAUCAAGAACCCCGAUAAGUACAAAUUAAGAACCUGACACUGAUCCAUCCUUCAUAUUCCUUGUUUUUAAUUUAGACUUCAACUGAGCCAGAGGUACAUGAGCAUCUGGGAAGAAUCUGAAUAAAACAGCAAGAGCAGAAAUGGAGCAGUGUUUGCCUUUGCCAUUUUUAUUUUUCAUUCUCUAUAUACUAUGGCUUCAAAAUAAAACCUCAAGAUUAGAAAGCAAUAUGAGCCAUAAAAGCUAAGUUUUGAAAGUAAAAGACUCCCAUUUGCUCCAUAAACAGGGAAGAAGCCUGGGCCAGAGACAAUGAAACUGAAGUAUUCUCAGGCCUGUCCUGGCAAUUUUUAUGGCAUAUAAAGAGCAGGUACUAGAAUGACAGUCGCUGAAGUGAGGCAAAUUAAGGAGCAACAGAAGUUGUAGCAUAUCAAAAAGAGCAAUCAGGGCUCUGGCUUUGGGCCCAAGCUGCCAUUGGUUGUCUUUUGUACAUCAGCCAUUGUGUGACCAAGUAUCACCACUGCCACAAUUAGAUGUACAAGGUGGGGAGUCAGGCAACUCACGAGGGCAAAUCAGCAGAAGAUGAAUGAGUCAGUGAUAUCGAUAGCAUGUUAAUUUACUUAUCAGGCAGAAUUUAGAACUGUAAACUAACACUGAUUGAAUUGUGUCAUCAUGACGAAAUUAUUCACCAGCCUUGUGUUGCUCAAGAUCACAGGUACCUAUUUUUAACUGAAAGAUGCUUUUACUUUUUUUCUUCAUUGUCAUGCUAUUUUAUUCCAAUUUUUCUUUCGGUUUGGCAUUUUCUAAAGUUUUUCAUUUUAAGACUAGUUUGUAUGUCUGAAGACAAAGGAAUUAGCUUUUGUUUAGGGGAGUGGGCCAGCAUUUAAACAGAAGUUCUCUGAUUGCAUGAGUUCAAGCACAGAUGUCUUAAACUUCUCAUCUUAGCAAAUGAAACACCCAGUCUUUAUUGUUUUUAUUCCCAGUUGACUGUGAAUCCAAGGGCUGGCACAUACAGCUGAAAAUUAAAAACUUGGAAUCCCACGUUAGGGCACUGUCAUCCCACUGAGUUCAGUGAAGUUUCCACGGUACAUACUAGGUGAUGAUGAUGUAUUUAGAAUUCACAUUCUUAGUCAGGAAGCCAAGUCUGCAUUAGGAGAACAUGAAACAUGAAAACAAAGUGAGAAAGCUAAGUCCCAAAUGUGAGAAUUAACCUUCUGUAAAACAAGUAAAUACUAGAGUAAAUUCAUGGCUGUACACUACUAACAAAAGCAAGUGUGUCAUAUAAAAUAUAUUAUGAAGGUGAUUUUUGGAGCAAUGUGUGAGACUGUGAGUUGGAUAGAGGGAGUAGAUAAAAGUGUUGUUGUUUUCUUAUCAUAGCUAAAAUUCAAAGGGUAAAAUCAAAUAACUUGUUAGUCCACUGACUAUUUGUCUCAAUGUGUCAUUUUGAUUUCAUUGUUUUCUUGUGUUUGAUCUGCACACAUCUGCUGCUUCUAAGUUGUUUAGGCAGAGAUGGUCUUUUUUGAUCUGCACUUAUGUAGCAGCUAAAACAGAGAGCUCCUGCUUUCUGCCCUGGGCUUCUGGACACUGCAGUAGUAUAAAUGAAGAUGGAAAUACUCUUUUAUGAAGGAGUAUUCAAGGGUAGUCAAACCAACUUGCAUGUGUUUUGUGCAGAUGUCAUCCAUGUAAUGCAAGGACAGAUCUGAGUCAGUGUCAGUCUGUUCCCCUGUAGAUGGUGCCCCUUGUUCAGGGAUUCAGUUUUGGGUUGCCAGCUAAAUUUCCCUAAUCUUCUUCUGCACUUUUAAAAUCAGUUUUCUCCCAAGUGGUGUUCAGAGUGGUACUCCAGAAAAACAGCAUUUGCAGUGCAGGUAGGACGAAGAGGACUGAAGUCCUGGUUUUCCCUUCAGGUACAGUCUACUCUAUAAAAUGAAUAACUACUAAGCUGUGGCUUCCAGAGUGUCCAGGUAUUAUUAAUAUCCAAUCUUACCCAAUGGUGGUAAGUGUUAUGGCUUCCCCAGUGUGAAAUUUCUAGUCACUGGUGACCACAUGCAUCAUAUGGAUGACUGUAAUAAAAAGAAUGGCAAGCGUGAUUUCUGAUUUAAUUCUGAGGAGCUGACAAAGCACAAGGAAGAGCUGUGUUUUCAACCUGAAGAAGAGGAGGCUCAGGGCUUUCUUACCAAUAUUUAUAAAUACUCAAAGGGAGGGUGCAGAGAGGACAGAGCUGGGCUCUUCUCAGUAGUGCCCAGUGCCAGGACAGGAGGCAACGGUCACAAAAUGAAACACAAGAGGUUCCAUCUGAACAUCAAGAAACAGUUCUUUACUGUGCACAUGACAGAGCACUGGAAUAAGCUGCCCAGCGAGGCAGAAGUCUUCAAAAGCCACCUGGGCAUGGCCCUGGGCAGCCUGCUCCAGGUGGCCCUGCUUGGGCAGGGCUUGGGCCUGUUGGGCUCCAGAGGCCCUGCCAGCCUCAGCCACUCAGAGAUUCUAUGUAAUGGCAGUUAUUGUUACCUAUGCAGAGAGGAUAGAGAUUUAAACUUUGUCUUUUCAGUUUGCCACAAUAUAUAUGAGACAUUCCUGUCAUUCUGCGGUCUCCAGUACAAAAUAGGGAUGACAUUGAUUCAGUUCUGAGAGCCUCAAAUAAGUUGCCUGUGUAAGUGCAAAAUAUGCUUAAUGUUCAAACACCCUGAGAGCAGAGUAAUGAUGAAUAUACAUAAUAGAAUAUACCAUUGAAAUGCGUUUAAAACCUUAUCACUUCAAGCUUCCUGAACUUGAUGUCUCUAAUUUGAGAUCUCCACAAAACCUUCAUCAUGCAGCAGAUGUAUAGCAAAGAUACACCAAAAAGCCGGCCUAGCCAUGAAGCAUGACAAGUUCUACACUAGCUAUUCAGAGGAGGCAAAAACAUUAAUGUGAAGAAAAAAUGGGAUAGAGUUACUAGGGUACAAAACUAGUUAAUAUAUUUUAAAUUUCAAGAAGUACUUCUGAAUAUCAGUACUCUGAUAAAUAAAUUCUCAAAUGAGUUUGUAUGUACCUCACACAGUCAUUUCAUUCAAAGGCACAGUGAAAUUAUCCUAUUAUUUAUAUUUUAAAUGCCAAACCAUAAAGGUGUCAGGAUAUUUUUACUGCAGUCACCAUUUCAUAAUAUUUUCUGUCCUUUUUAAAAAAUGUAUGUAUUUCCCUUACAGAAAUGCAGUUGCUUUACAAUUCUGAUGUUUAGACUAUUGUUCUGUGUAAAAGCUUGCAAAACACGUGGAUAAAUGAACUGGAAAUUAUAUGUCAUUAAUAUAAUUAGGAGAGAAGAAUUUUUAAUUUCAGUUUCUUCAUAGCUAUGUUUUAGCCUAAAUGCAAUACAGUAAACUAGUUACCUCUGACAAUUCUAUCUGUCAGCGCCAUUUUGUUCGCAAACCAAAAUGCUUGUUUUGUUUCCCACAUUGCUUUUCUGUAGCUUUCAAAUCGGAUGAGCAGAAGAAGGGAAUAGAGCUCUCUGACUGUAAUUGUGUUGUUAAGAUGUUAAGGUCAGUGGUAGUGUCACUUCUGCAAAUCCUGACAGUUAUUUAUCCAAGUCAAACCUGAUUUUUUAAUCAUUACAAUAUGUCUUCUUUUCUUUUUUCUUCUUUUUUAUUUUUAUUUUUAUUUUUUUUUUCUGCCUUUUAAAAAACUUAGGUGAAUAAAAUAUAAAACCUACCCAGUAACCUUAAUUCUCCUCACAAUUGCACAGGUAAAAAUUUCUAGUAGAUUUUCUGUUUUAAAAGCACAGUUUCCACAACUGCUAUCUUCUAUAAAUCAAGCUAUCUUAGAGACCCAAAGAAGUUAAUGUAGCAGUGAAUAAUUUUAAUUCAAACCCUCAGUUUAAAUGUGAAGUUUUCAGGGAAUGCAGACUUCAUUAGCACACUGGGGACAUAGUUUCUUCCUUACUCAGUAGUUCUUAGUCUGGGGCAGUACCACCUUCCUGAGGUGCUCAUAAAUCCAUGAAUGAAAAUCCCCUGACACCUUCCUAGCUUUUUGCUUUUGACCUUUUUAGUUACCAGUCCUCUACUUUUCCUUCUCUGUUCACCUGAGAAUAUAUUUUCAUUAUUUUCAUUAUGUUCAGCCUGUUCACCUGAGAAUAUAUUUUGUGGUGACAUUGCUAAUCCUAAGUGUGAAAUGAUCUGGACAAUCGCAAUUGUUCUCUUCAUCCUUGACAUUGAACCCAUUUCUGCAAGGUUUCUUUCUUUUAGGGAUGGAGGUAAAAGCAGACUUAUGACUGAUGCUGAAGAAUGACAAUAUAUUGCUCCAUGCUGAGUAAUGGAAAACUCACUAAGCUAUUGUUUUGUUUUUAAUUCUUGUUUGUACCUUAAGAGAAGUAACUAGUCAGGAAUGUUACUUAAUGGUAAGAAAAAAAAAAGAAAAAAAAAAAGAAGAAAAGAAUAAAAGUAGACUCAAAGCAAUUUAGGACAGUCAUGAUAAAGUAUAAAGAUCCUCGUCACUAGAAGCUCAUCCUUGCCCACACUGAAAUCAGACUAAGAGAUUUCUAGCCUAAGCUCUGUAAUUUGAUCCUAGGGAAAAGUUCAGCCCAGAGGAAUGUUUGGUACUAAUUAGUUUAAGGAUUUUGACCAGUAUCUUCUUGUCCUUAAGUGCGGAUUUUCAAAGAAAUGGUGAUUUCAUAUGAUCUUUGAUGUUGGGAUUCUAAAUUAAAAUGUUCUUUCUGAAGAUGAGAGCCUAGAUUAAGUUAUUCUGAGAUUUACAGUGGGCUCCUUUUUGCCUUAACUUUCUUCCUUCUGCUGGAAUCUAUGACCCCCACUUUCCCAUAAACACAAAAAGGAAUUGUAAUUAUUAUUCCUUCAUAAAUACAAAGGUAUCUGCAGAAUUACCUCAGGGAUUUAUUAAAGCAACAGUCAUUCCUCUGAAAUUAACAAAAGGCCUGUUCAAUGCUAAGGUGUUUGUUUGUUUAUUUGUUUUUAACUAACUCUUCACUUUUGCUUUCCUUUUGAAUGUUAUAAUGUUAUUAAGCUUUACUUCUGACCGGACUGAUUUUUUAAAGGAAAAUGGUCAUGCCUUUUUUUUUUUUGUUACAGGGGUACAUAAAAAUGUCCAUGUUUGACUUUUUUGAAAAGAUUUAUAUUAGCUUGCCUUCCCUUGUACUUGAAUUUAAACAGAACUUGUUUUGAUUUUUCUUGCAGUCACUUCUAAAAAAACCUUGGCAGUUUUCUUUGAGUAAAAAAAAGGUUAUUUGCUGAAGUUAUUUACAGUUUAAUUACCAGUUUAAUUACAAUCUAAUGUCUUGUUUACUGUGACACUCUCUACUCUGCAGGCUGAGCUGAAAUAGAUUACAGAAGCCACAAUGGCAAUAGAUUCACCUUUGUUUGGAGUUGGACAGUCUUCUGCUGCUGUCAGCAGAGCAACCCUGGAAAACAGUACCAACCGUCCAGGGUUGAUUAAAUGUGAAGAAUCACAGAAUGGCCAAGGUUGGAAGAGACCUCUGAAGAUCAUCUAGUCCAAACCCCCUUCCAAGCAGGAUCACCUAGAACACAUUGUGCAGGAUAGCAUCCAGGCAGGUUUUGAAUAUCUCCAGAGAAGGAGACUCCACAGCUUCUGUGGAAGGGCAACCUGUUCCAGUGCUGUUUCACACUCACAGUAAAGAGGUGCCCACCUUAUAUUCAGCCAGAACCCUCUGUGCUUCAGUUUGUGUCCAUUGUUUCUUGUACUGUCACUGGGCAUAACUGAAAAGAGAAUGGCUCCAUCCUCUUGACACUAUCUCCUCAGAUAUUUAUACACACUGAUGAGGUCUCCCCUCAGUCUUCUCUUUUCUAGGCUAAACGGGCCCAGCUCUCUCAGCCUGUCUUUGUAUGACAGGUGCUCCAGUCCUCUAGUCAUCUUCAUAGUCCUCCUCUGCAACAGUAGUACAGAAUUAGUCCAUGAAUCACCUCUGCAAAAGCAUAUAUAGAUGGAUAACUUGUUAUGGAUCUAUAUUUAUACUCUUGCUUUACACGUUCAUUCAAAUAAUCCAACCUUGGAGUAGAUAUCACAGCAUCUCUUCUUCCUUGCUUUUUCUGUCUACAUUCUCAUCAUACAUUGGAAACGUCCUUUCCAAGCUGUCAUGCACAAAUUCAUACUGAGAUGGAAGGAUGGUACCUAUAUUUUUUACAAUGAAGUAUUAUUCUUUCUAGUAUGCUUACCUCUACUACAGCAGUAGUAAAGCUAGUAUUGUGGCAGUUAAGCUAGUAGAGCAGUAGUAAAAAAUAAAAUACUAAAUUAAUAUAGAAGCAAAAUAAAAAUAGUAUAUUUAGUAAAAAUAAAUUUGUCUAUAAAGUAAAAUAAAUACACUAAGGUAAACAAAGUAGUAAACUAGUGUAGCAGUAGUAAAGCCAGUAUAGCAAUGAACAGACACUUCUAAUGGCAUGAGAACAUACUGUGAAUUUGAAGAUUGUUUUGGAAUUGGAAGGGCUUUUGUGCUGUCUGGAAGAAGAUGAAAAAGGCUCUUUCCAAUAUUAUUCUUUUUAACAUCAAGGGAUUGCUGGAAUACCCUGAAGCAACCUUAAAAUAUGCAACAGUCUUUCACUUUCUAGAACUAUAUUUUUAAUAUAAUUUCAGUAACAGUUCCUUUUAUAGUUCCUAUUUCUCCCAGAAAGUUAUGUAUAUUUUUAUUUUAUUUUAUUUAUUUAUUUAUUUAUUUUUAAUGCAUUCUUCCAUGAAAGGAAGUAUAACAGAGUAAUCUUUGUCUUCAGAUCAUAUCACCUGAGACAGAGUUGAAGGGUUGACUGAAUUAGAAUUCCCUUAAUAAGCCACAGAAAAGUGACUAAUAUCAUCAAAAACGAAAUCUCUGCAGCUCUUGCUGGAGCCAUCAGCUCUACGUGAGUUUGGAUAUUAUUACUAUUCAUCAUCAAUAUCCUCUGCCUCAGGAUGUUAUUUCUAAGGUGAUUUUCUCAUCAGUAUUUUUUUCCGUUUUGGUUUCUUAUCUUGACUUCUAUAUCUCUGCCAUAAUAUUUAUAAUGUUCCACACAGGAACAGUAAUUAAACUUUUGUGUUGCUCUGUGCCUUCAGCCUCUAAUGCACUGUAUAAUGUUAUAGUCCUAAAGUAGGAGAGUCAGAAUCCUCUACUGUAGACUUCUGGGAAAUUUUCCAGAAGUAUAUUCUGAUUUGAAUCAUGUAAUAAAUUGCACUGACAUGCGACUGUCCUGAUAAUGGUGUACCAAGAUCUCUUUGCAGAUAUGUCAGAAAUCUGGGACCUUUGUGAUUUAGAAUUUAUAAAAUUGAGCUCUUUGUGAAAGAGCCCAGAUAAUCAGAAGUCUGAGACUGCUUAUAACCAGUUCUCUUUUCAAUUCUUCAUAAUUGAUCCCCUGUCUGUUUUUAAUUGUUAUGUAGAUGUGGGUACUAUCAUGUAAAUGAAGGUAUCUUUAUACUUCAAGUAUUUUCUGGCCUUUGUUCUUCAUAGUGUGAGAUGCAUUUGGCUGAGAGAGUACUUUGUAUUAUCAUUUCAUUUCCAUGCCUUGUUUGUAUUUAACAUCAUCAUUUUGCUACAAGUUUUCUGAAGUUCUUCCUCCAUUUCUCCUUCUGUAACACUGCAUGUAAUAUUUAAGUAGCAUUUGAGCUAGACUUCCUGUAUAUGACUCACUCAGCUUGCAUUAUUUAGCCUAAAUUUUCCAUUACUAAACUCCCCAAAAAUCUAUUGCUUACAAGAUGACUGACAGUUUUGGAACAUACCUUAUUGUUUUCCAUUUGGGCAUCUUAAUGGACCCUCAGCUGGUUUGAUAGACUCUGUACUUUUCCAAUUAGAAUGAAUUUAUGACUGUGAAACUAGUUUGAUCUUUGACUAUCCUAACUUCUCAGAUUCAUCACUUUUAGUUAAAUGCCUUAAUUGGCUUCUGUUUCUUUACAUAUUAUCUUGAUCACAUUGACCCCAAGAAUAUUGUCUCUUCGCUUGAACAUGCUGAACUAGCAACCUGAUUUAAUGUUGACGUAGAUGCCUACUCAGAAGUUGCUGAAUCACAGAUUCCUUUCCAGAAAUUGGCUUCAUAUAUUUAUUUAUUUAUUUGGUAUUUCCUUCACAGUUUCCUGUUGAUGCAUAAUUCAGCUUUAAAACAAUGUUUAUAUUAAAAAUAGAAGAAAUGUUAUGUUUGUGUUAUUAUAGUUUGCUUUAAAGUCAAUUUACCACUCUUUCUUCAAGUCCAAAGAAGUUCAAAUAAUAAGCACAAAAACACUGCUUAAGGAAGAAAAAAAGCUCUAAGUUUCUAAAAAUGCUUACCUUGUUUUCACUUCUCAAGUAUUCAGGUUGUCUGUUUUCUUGGCAGAACCAGUUUGCCGUUAAAACUAAGAGCUAGAACCUGUGUUCCAAACACAAAGACAUGGUUAGAGAAAGGUCAUCAUGCAGUGGGACACAAAGCCACACUAUUACAAAGGUUCAAAUUUACCUAAGAAUUGAGAUCCGCAGUGCUUUUGUUGAUGCUGUCUCUGAAUAAUUUAAGAAAGACAGUUGAUCUGAAAAUAGAUUACCAGUGACACUUCACUGGAAAUGCAAGAUGGUAGGGAUGUGGAAGAGGACACUAAAGACACUAGAUUCAAGUUUCCGUGCUGUAGCCAUCUGUGCUACAGCAUCUAGUCAGGAACUGUUUUGUUGAGGUUGGGAUCAUGGGUUAUAGGUAGGGCUCCAGGGCUGCUUCUGGGCUUGGAAGAGCAAGCCUGAUCCCACUCCAUUACCCAAUGUAUUGGGUAAGAGGCUCAGAAAUCACAUUCACAUCAGGGCUGUGCCUGCCUCAAGCAGUAUCUGUUGUAAUGGAUAUAACAUGAAUACCAAUCAGAAAAGAUUCAGUUUUAAAAACUGAUUUGCAUGAAGCCUCUCUCAGCAGCUGUCAGGAGCUGCUAGGUUGGGCUAGAACCAUAUAACAUCCUGCUUAUGCACUAACACUCAGAUGUUUUGUUAUUAAAAUGUCAGUCAUGUUAUAUCACUAGAACAUGUUUAGCAUAACUGUUUUGCAUUGGCAUCUAUAUGUUUCUGAUGUUUAUUCUGCAUAACCCUUUAUCUCUGUUCCCACCAUGAUUUCAGUCUUCUCUUCUGCCGUUUUUAUUUUUAAAUCAUAUAUAGCUUGUAGUUUGAAAGUCAGUCUGCUUAUCUUUUAAAGCACAUCUUUCUUUUUCAAAUUAGAAGAAGAAAUGGUAGAAUCAAUGAAAUUUAGAUGAGAUUUAGGAAAUUGAAUAUUUAUUUGCAGAAUUCAGAUGUUCUCUUUUUUGCAGUCAAAAUUUGCAAGCCAGUUUAGUAGUGACUGUUUCCCAAAACAUACAUAUCAUUUCAGAAAAUAAGUUGUUUUGAAAACAAGUUGUGUGGAAUGAUGCAAUAUGAAAUGACUCAUGCAGUUUAAACUGCAUUCCAAAUUAAAAUUAAUAUACCACAUCUUUUUUACCAUAUUUCAAAUGCAUAGUUCUUAAAAAUGGUGUAAAUUGGUGUUGUAAUUUACCCAUAAUAAAAACAUCAAGUGGAAAUCAAAAUUUUACUUCAGUCAACUCAGUGUCUCUUGACAUUCAGCACUCUUCCUACAGCUCCACUCUGAGCCUCAAGAUUUCAUGAACAUUUCAGAUUUAUUUUGUACUUGUUUUACAUUUGUGGCUAGCUUAAAAACAUUACACAGUAAAGCCUGAAAAACAACACCCAGGUAUCAGAUAACACAUGAGCAAAUAUGAUCCUUUAUUUAUUUAUAUUUUUUAUAAAUUUCAUCUUCAAGAUACUCUUUUGGGAUUUAGGAUUUGAUAUCUUUUGUUUGAAUAGUCUCAGUUGUUAAUACUAAAGAUUGUCAAAUCCUCUGCAAUCCAGUUGCAAUGCCAAUACACAGAAAUUUACAUGUACUAAACUCUUAACAAAUCUUUAUUAGAAAGAAAGGGAUGAGCAAAAAAAUCAUUUGACCUUACAUGUCUGUUCCAAAGACACAUAAUACAUUUUUCUGCACUCAUAUUCAUUAUUUUAAGGUAAACACUGAACAGCCGUUAUUCUAACAUCCUUAUUAAAAGCUUCAACAGCUUCUAAACAAAACAGGAGAUUAGUAGAAAGUAGUAGCAGUAGUAGCAUCUGCCUUGAACAGUAAAAUCCAGGUAAAACCAAUAGUAUAGGACAGGUACCUUGGCUUCAACAGAAUCCCUGUCUAAAACCAAGAAAGAGGAUUUCAUCUGAUAAUCUUCAGGAUGACUUUGCAUAUUCUGGAAAUUUCCCAAGAGGCCUUCCCAGGGAGUGCCUUAUCCUCUGUAUCAUCAUCAUCAUCUACCUAACUGCACUGGAUUUGCUUAGGUGCAGCAGCUUCUUUGUGCACUUCAUUAGUUUGGUGUGAACAUGACACACAUUCUGGCUUAUGCUGAAUACAUGUGAUUGUUUUAAUGGAGAAGAUAAAGUAAUUAACUCUAUAUUGCACACCAGAAAGCCCAUUUGAAUGUUUGUGUCAAGCUAUAUACCUGCUCACGUAAGAUUUACUUCUAUACAUUUCCUGUAAUCUGCUUUCUGGACUUCUAGAACUUCAGAGCUUUUCUUGGCUUAAGGUUUUCCUUACUCAUUUAAUGGCCUAUUCUUAUUCCUGUUAACCUGUUAUUCAGGUUAAUAUCAUAUUAAUUCGGUCUAGAAUUCAUACACUUCUAAGGAGUCUAUGCAGAAUCUGUAAAAAACAAUUGCUAAGAAUAUAGACAUUUUCAAAUCCUUAGGUAUGCACAUAUCCAUAAUGGUUCUUAAUAUCUUGGCCUUUGUAUUUCCUGUGCAAUCAUUUCACUUUGUCACAAGUUGUCUGAGUUAGAUUGGAUGCUACCCAGUUUCUGAGUGAUACAAUGAGUGAUACACUUCAAAUGUGUCCUACAGUAGUGGCAUAGAUCACGGUGCUAUUUACAGUUGAACCAGGGCAUGGCGGCAAUCCUGCAGGUUUCACAAGAAGCCAGUUUGACAUCUAACCCAUGAGAUUUCAGAGCUGGAAUACAGGCAAGCUUGGACACUUAGAUAUUUUGUGGACAAAUAAAGAAGGAAUGAUGAAAGAAAGUACAUUUUGGUAGUCAUCCUUCACUCUAAAUAAAUUGUAUUACAUAAUGAUUAACAGAUUUAAUCUCUUUAGCUCCGAGACUACUAGAAUGCAGAUUUCUUCUCUCAAAUUAGGUGAUUUUCUCAAAAAAAUAUGUCAGUUUUUCUGAGAAAAAUAAAUGCAUCAACACAUCUGCUCAAAGGAACAAAGCAGGACACUUGUCUCCUUGAUGAAUGAUUUUGAAACUUCUGGACAAAAGUAUGCCAGUGUAAUAAAAAAGAAUCCUGUUCUGCCUAUGGGCAGUAUAUAAAGGAAAAGGGCACUUACAUAAGUAAACUUUAUUUUAGAAACUAUAAAGAGAAAAAGGUGAGGAAAAAGUCAGAAAAGAAAGCCUUGCUGGCUACAAUAAGUAUCAAGGGUCUUGACUAUAAAUUGAGCUCUAGAGAUGGUUUUCUGGCUAUAGGUACAGCUUUCAGGAUUCAAAACUGACUUUGUUAACUUGGUGAAUUAAUAAAAGGCUCCAACUCUGACCUGAUUCUCACUGGUUAGCAGUAAGUCUUUUGGCCUGCAGGACAGACAUCCAACCAGGAAAGCUUUGGAGAUAUUUUUAAAAUGGAAGGCAAGUUUUUGUUUCCCUUCCAAAUAGGACUUUAUUUUGGCUUAUCUACCUUUUUAUCUGAUUGCCUGCCAUUUUUUUUUGCCCUUCCCAUUUGUCUUCUUUUAAAUAAUCUUUCUUUAGUGUAGCUCCCCAAAAUAUUCUUGAUUCAGUUAUGUUGGCAGAAAAUGCCAAUCUGUUUUAAAUCACAUUCUAUAGGAAUAUAUUUGUUUCAAUGAAACUACAGCUGAAAGCAAUUAUGGGGAUUUGGAACAAAAUUAAAAUUAAAAAAUCCUGGGAGCUCUUCUAGCUACAAAGCUUUAAGUUAGUGGCACUCACGUGGGAAUUGAGUUCAUGUCCCUGUUCCAUCCAAAUUGGAACCAGAAUUGGAACUGAAAAUUGGAUCGGGGUCAUUUGCAUUUCAGGAAAGUGUCUUGCUUGGUAAGCCAGUAAGUCAACAUCUUCAAUCCAUCAAAUGUUUUUCAUUUAAAUAAUUCCUGAAUAAGAAGGCUUCAGCUUCAUGCUUCAUGCAGAGGAGACACUUGUACCUGGUCCCCCACAUUCUCCUGACUCUCCUAAGCCAUGUGGCAAUUCUAAGAACAGUCUCUCAGUUUCGAUAGACCCACUCCUUCCUAGUAAACUAAUAACAUCAAAAGCUUUGCUAAACAGUAUUUCUGUAUGCCAGCUGGCAUUUCUGUGAAGAUCUGGGUUGCCACUGACGAUAGCACUGCAGAGAUGUUCUGUCAGGUCCCACAGAUGGAGCUUAGAAACAUGGAGAGGGAACUGGAGAGAUGCAGGUUCCCCAGACUCCCUUGACACCUAUCCUUAGUUCCUGGGUCCAAGACUGGAAAGUGGAGGAGAGAAGGAAGAUGGGGGACUUGCCCCCACAUAAGAUGGGAAACAGAAUUAGCCUGGAGCAGGUUUUUUUUUUUUUUUUUUCUUGGUAAAUGGAAAUUUAGAAAUUUGUCAUCUUAUUUGAAAUAUUGAACUCUGUGUUUAUUUCAUUCUCUCUCUGGAUUUACAAGAGCUAUUUUCAUCCAAAGUAAAAUAAAAAGCACAGGCAAAGUAGCAUGUGUGGCAACCAGCUUCUUCCUGUCUCAUAGAGGCCUAUUAUGAAGGCCUAUUUUCACUUGCCUUUUUCUCCCCAAAGAGAUGUUAAACUCAGUUUUUAAAGGGCUUUAUGGUAUAAUCAAACCAGCUCAGCACAGCAGGCAUUCGCAUCUUUUUCUCAUAUUAUUAUAAAGUCCGCUUUCAAGUAUGUUUGUAUCCCAUUGCAUUUUGGGAAUUCCGGAGAUUAUAAAUAAAAGUGUCUUCUUUUCUUGAAAGAACCUCACGGCAGGUUCUUUUAACAAAUGCUUUUCUGCUCAACAUUAGAGAUUGCAGUGUAAAGUUCACUCUUAUGGGAAAAAUGUUCCUCCCACUUAUCAAAGACUUAUUUUAGGCACAUGAGUUUAAGACAUACCUUUAAAAGGUUGACUUUUUGAAAAGCACAACAAACCCUUUGUCUUCUCAAUUUACAUGUUUACUUUGCCACUUCCAGGCUAUAACUUAAUUAGAUUGUUGCUUGUUUACUUAUUGCACAUAUUUUCUAAAGCACACAGAUGAACCUUAAAACAGCAUUUGUUCACCUGGAGUCAGCAUAUGGGCAUGACCUUAUCAGAAAUUGCCAGAUGGAUAUAGGCAGGCAGCAAGAGGGCUAUGUGAAAAGUAGAGAUUUUCAUUUGCACUUUUUGACAAGGCUUUCUGAGAGAUGUGAAAAAGAUUGUUAGUCCUUCUUCAGUGAAGGCUGGAUUCACACUCACAAACAAAUCCAAUGGGAAAUUCAUAUUAAGUCUGCCAGAUUUGUCCUGUGAAAUGACAGAUUUGUAUGCAAAUAAGACCAUUAGGAUUUCAGGGAAAAUAGUGGUGAUUUAAUUCAUUUAGUUAAAAGUUUUCAGCUAACCCUGAGAUGUUAUACAAUACUUCAUGGAGAGUUGGUUAUAUAGAAAACUCAGAAAUUCUGAGAAUUCCAGAAAAAGUUCCACCCAAAUGAAAGCAAUUAUGACAUGUUCAAAAUGCCAACUAACUGGUUAUACAAGACGCUUUCAUUUUUUAUUUAUUUUUUUUUAAGUGUAUGCUAGGUGUCUUCUCUCCCACAUAUCUGCAACAAAAUGAGGACGAUCAGAAGAAAAAAUGGGAAUUAAUCAUAAUUGUUGCUGAAAUAAGAAGAUGAUAACCAACAGCCCUCUUCAUUGAUGAAAACAAUAACAUUUUCCAUGGGUAAGAUAUAUACUUUCAGGAAUGUGACUCACAAACAGAAAAUCAAUAAGGAGAAAGUUCAAAUUCUGCUGCCUGUGUACUAAAUGUGUGCUGAGCAAAAUAAGAGCUUACUAGGCAGAUCUGCAGUCUAUUGAGUUUUGCAAUACUUCUCAGUUUGAAUCUGGUGUAGAAGCAGCCCAGCUGGAAUUGAGACUUACUAUGCACUCCCACUGUGUAGUUUCACAAACUAACAAGAGAAAAUGAGUUUUUUUUUGAAAAAAUAUGGGAAAUAGCUUGUAAAAAGAAUGCUUCUUCCUCUGAAGAAAUGGGCUCUCAAUUAUUUUCAGAGCUGAUUGCAACAAGAAUUCAACACAUCAUACACAUCAGCAGGGAGGAAAAAGUAUGAUCAUUGCUGUUGGUACACAAAUGUUUAUAAACCUCUUCUGAAAAAGUUUUACCCACAGAAUCAAAAUGGAAGAUAGUUUUAAAAUCAGCUGCAUCCUAGUUCAGUAAAUGUUUACCUUUACUACUGCCAUAUAAAUGCAUGUUCAUGUUUUUGCUCUUGCCAACUACCACUGAAUUAAAUUAAAAAUAUAUAGGCUAUUAUUUUUCAGAAUCAAUGACUUCACAGAACAUUAUAAUAGGAACUCAAAGAACCCACUGAGUUCAGUUUUAAUUUUAUAAUAUUUUGUUUAAUAAUGUCUAUUAAAACAUCCAUUAAAAGAAUAUCAUGCUAAUUUAACUGGGAACAUAUAAUAGAUGCCAUUGGAAAGCUUCCAUUAAAUUAAUGUUAGAGACUUAAUGUCUUAAAUAGAUGUUGUUAUUAACAAUAUCUUAAAUAGAUGCUGCUAUGAAAAAAAAGUAAUGCAACAUUAAUUAAAAGAAAGCUAGGAAUUCACUGACAAAAGUUCUUACUGAACAGACACCAAACUACUAACAAUAACAAAAUAUUUUCCUCUUUGGUUCUCUAUUUUUACAUCCCCCCCCUAUUUUCCCUUCACAGUACCACACUAUGUAAUUACAAAAAUGCAUAUAAAACAUAUUCUACCACAGGGAUAGAAAGAUUUUUAGUUUCUUUCUCUCAUAUUUUUUAAUUCAAAGUUCAAAAGAGCCAAAGAAGUCUUCAUGCCCCCCUCUUUUUUUUUUUUAAUGCUAAUUUCUGUGUACUUAUUGGCAUAUAUCUAUCAUUUUCAAGAUAUUCUUUUUUCAUUCCAUCUAGUUCAGAAUAGUCCAUAAAGCUAUAAAUCUACUGAAGAGCAAGAAAAGAAAUGACAACAUUUGUAUGAUGAUACUUGACUGCUGUUAGUCAGAAACAUAUAUGUAGGUCUCAUCACAUACACUGAUGAUGGAGCUGAAGAAAGUGCAAAACAAUGUAAAAGUCAAAAGACCUGGCUGAUUACAAAUCUGUUAUCAUCUAUCACACUGUUAACAUAUCUUAGAGAUAAUAUCCAGGUUAAUAAGGCAUUUCCUCACCUUGAAAUGCAAGUUAAAGUUCUCUCUUAAUGCAGGGAUGGAAUACAAGAUAACUCAAUUUUUUAGCUUGAAAGUCAUUGCUAUUCUCUGUCAUCAUAGAACUGGAAAAACAAAACAAAACAAAACAAACAAAAAAAAGAGCAGAAAUAAAUACAUGGGAAAGAAAAUAUCAUGAAGAUAAUGCUCAUAGUCACAUCUCCGAUAGGAAACAAGAUUUACAUCACGUUGUAGACUCAUAUUUCCUGACAUUUGUCCUAGCGUAUUAUGAUCAAAGAACUAAAGCAGUCACAGGGAAACACCACAGGAAGGAUUAAAUUAAAUGAUUAUGUAAACUUCUGAAGGAAGACAGCUUUCACUGCACAUCCUGACUGCUAGAAACAUUUUAGAGUAUAUUUAGAGGCUGCCUUUUUUUCAGGCUCUUGCUUAGAGACCCCCCCGAUGCUUUUAGCUCAUUUUAUUAGUUAUGCAUUGCCCUACAGUUACCAUCCCCUUGAACUGAACUGGCUGCCAAACUAACAGCUGAUGCUUGUAACAUGUUCACCAGAGCCAGCCAGGAAGACACCAUGACCAAGCUGCAAAGAAGGGUAAAGUCUUACAAAGUCCAGUGGAGUAAUAUUAGCUUGAUAGGUGAUUAAAAAUCUCAGGGACAGUGCUGAGAAGAAACAAUACACUGUGUACCAAAUCUCUAUAUUUCUAGUAAAGAAUUAUUCCAAGGAAGUAAGAGAGUUUUACAUUAAAAAAAAAAAAAAAAAAAAAAAAAAAAAAAAAAAAA